CUCGUAGGCGGCCAACUAAGUCAGACGUGAAAUCCCUCGGCUUAACCGGGGAACUGCGUCUGAUACUGGAUGGCUUGAAUCCGGGAGAGGGAUGCGGAAUUCCAGGUGUAGCGGUGAAAUGCGUAGAUAUCUGGAGGAACACCGGUGGCGAAGGCGGCAUCCUGGACCGGCAUUGACGCUGAGGAGCGAAGGCCAGGGGAGCAAACG
rnacentral:rRNA from 1 species